rnacentral:rRNA from 1 species
GCUCAGAUUGAACGCUGGCGGCAUGCUUUACACAUGCAAGUCGAACGGCAGCGGGGGCUUCGGCCUGCCGGCGAGUGGCGAACGGGUGAGUAAUGCAUCGGAACGUGCCCAUGUCGUGGGGGAUAACGUAUCGAAAGGUACGCUAAUACCGCAUACGUCCUGAGGGAGAAAGCGGGGGAUCUUCGGACCUCGCGCGAUUGGAGCGGCCGAUGUCGGAUUAGCUAGUAGGUGAGGUAAAGGCUCACCUAGGCGACGAUCCGUAGCGGGUCUGAGAGGAUGAUCCGCCACACUGGGACUGAGACACGGCCCAGACUCCUACGGGAGGCAGCAGUGGGGAAUUUUGGACAAUGGGCGCAAGCCUGAUCCAGCCAUGCCGCGUGAGUGAAGAAGGCCUUCGGGUUGUAAAGCUCUUUCGGCCGGGAAGAAAUCGUGGUCUCUAACAUAGGCCAUGGAUGACGGUACCGAC